rnacentral:rRNA from 1 species
UGUGGUUAUAAUAGCGGAGAAGAUACACCUGUUUCCAUUCCGAACACAGAAGUUAAGUUCUCUAGCGCUGAUGGUAUUUGGUGGGAAACUGCCUGGGAGAGUAGGACAUAGCCACGU